rnacentral:lncRNA from 1 species
AAACUUCAAAAACCCCCCCUGUGUUUCAUGCAUUCUCACUUUCCUACCCUGUGGUUUAAAACGUAUCAAUUUGCUCCCAUGUGGUUUCAUUUUUCUCUUUUUGUUAUCAAUUUUAUUAUUAUUUUUUCUUAAAUCAGUAACAAAAUUAAAAUUAAAGGAUACUAAAGUGAAUAUUCGAUAAACAUAGAUGGUUAUCUAAAGUUUUUUGUAUAUAAUUUAACGAAAUAUUAACGAAAAAGCUUCUGAAAAGAUAAAAACGAAACCACAGGGGGCAAAUUGAUACGUUUUAAACCACAGGGUACUAAAGUGAGAAUGCAUGAAACCACAGGGGAGUUUUUUGAAGUUUUUCCUUUAUUAUAUAAUAAUAAUUAAAUUAAUAUUAAUCAGGAUAUUAGAUUUGUUAUAUUGUCAUUAGAUUAAAUUAAUACGUCGUGAUUACAUUUAUCAAAUUUUAAUUUGGGAAAACUUCAUAAACCCCUCAUGUGGUUUCGCAUUUUCUCACUUUGCACCACUGUGAUUUAAAUGUAUCAAUUUGCCUCUCUGUAGUUUCUUUUUUCUCUUUUUCUUAUCAAUUUUAUUAUUAUUUUUUUAAUCAAUAAUAAAGUUAAAAAUAAAGGAUACUAAAGUAAAUAUUUAAUAAAUCUAGAUGAAUAUUUAAAAUUUUUUAUCAUUUUAAACCACAUGGGGGGUAAUGUGAGAAACAAUGAAACUACAGGGG